rnacentral:rRNA from 1 species
UGGGGAAUAUUGCACAAUGGGGGGGAACCCGUGAUGCAGCGACGCCGCGUGAGUGAAGAAGUAUUUCGGUAUGUAAAGCUCUAUCAGCAGGGAAGAAAAUGACGGUACCUGACUAAGAAGCCCCGGCUAACUACGUGCC